rnacentral:tRNA from 1 species
GACUUCGUAGCUCAGUUGGUAGAGCAAAUGACUCUUAAUCAUUGGGUCGUGGGUUCGAGCCCCACCGAGGUCA